ensembl:lncRNA
UUCCAUUUAACCUGCCUUACCACAGCUGCAUCCCCACACAGCUGUUUUCAAUUUUGACAAUUUUUGGUCUCAGUCGGCGUCUCACUGUGCGAUGUGACUGACCAAAAAUAAUUGAUGACCAACAACAACCACAUUUCUCUCAUGGUUGUCAACUUUUUCUCCGGCGGAUUAAGAUUUCACGGUACACAUGGGGACUUUCACUUUAGAAGGGCACAGGAAGUUUUUUGGCUUUAGUGAGGGACCCGGAGGGAACAUCCAUCCUCUUCUCCCGGAAAAAUGACAAUAUGAACUGAAGAGAGUCUGUUGGUAGACCAGCGAAUCCUGAACUGCUGCUACGUUUCUUACAACAGCAGCACGUUGUUCACGUCUGCUUACAUGCUUCCUCGCCGGUCGUCUUCUUCGUGUUUGGCCACAGCAGGAAGCCGCAAGCCAACACUGUUGGGUGGACCUCACACAGAAAGCAAACAUAAAGGAACCACACCAAGGGGAGAAUGUAAACUGGCCCUUCAUUCAACAUAACGUUGUGUUUCCUCUAUCAUCCUUGGUUUUACAUUUGCGGCUUUCUCACCUGUUUCAUCUGAUGCUGUUUGGGCUGUUUUCACUCUACAUCUGGUUGAGAUCGCUCUUGCGCAAGAAACUCAUUCAAUAAGGGUCAACACAUGUAUAGAUAGAGCAUUUAUAUAAGCAGCUGCAGAAGGACUAACAAUUGUUGUGUUGUAGCGAAAAACAAACCAUAAUUGUUGUUGUUAUGCGAUAGGAUGUUGUCAGGUGACACUGGCUUGGACUUUGAUAGGGUCCUUUAAAGGCCGCAUGGGCUGAUCCGAGCGGUCGCUGAUCUGAGACGAUCUGACUCUCUGCUUGCAUCUGCCGCUCUGGUUGCCUAGCAACAGCAAGUAGUAAAAUAUAGCAAAAGCCUUGAAACGCAAAAAACAUAUAAAAGGGCAGCCAGAAUCAGAUUCAGAUCGGUUAAGUCAAUGGUUGCCAAACUUUUUCUGUCUAGGGGGCCUUGUCUUUUUUCCUCUGUCUCUGUUUUUUUCUCCCUCUCUUCCUCCCUUUCUCCCUCUCCAUCCAUCUCUUUCUCUCGCCCUCUCUCUGCCUCCUUGCUGCGCUCGUCUCCCUGUAACUUGAGCCGCUCUGGGGGGGUUGGUUCCAACACAACGCAUGUCAAGUCCUCAUGUGGGUUUCGUUUUUUUUGCUGUGUGUUGGGGUUGGUGAUGAAGCUGCGACCCCCCACCCCUCCCACCCCCCCAGCUCGGGAACCACUCGGUUAAGCACAUGUCAUUUCAGCUAAAAGUAAUAUUGCAAUCUUAAGGCAGAGAAAAUCAAUUACUACAGUCAAUAAAAAAACAUUAAUGUCAGCAAACAUUUUAUAAACUUGAAUGCAGAGAAUUGCUUUUUUCUUCUUGUAUAUGAAACAACCUAAUUUGACUGUAACCAUAAGACAUUACAAAAUAUUUCCAAGCUGCAGUAGCUUAAUCUUAUAAAUUUGGUAUUUUUUUUAAUGUAUUUUGGUACUUUGAUAUUCAUGUAUGCUGUGGGGGGCAAAGGGGGCCGCAUGACUGACAGGAGUUUGUUUGGAGAAAAACGACAUUACCAACGUCCCGUUAAGGGAUUGUUUAAACAGAAAUGUAAUGUUAUAUAUCAUAUUAUAAUAUUUCUAUCUACAGAUAUUCGAGUGAACUGCAGUACUUACAUUUAAAAGUGAACUCC